rnacentral:rRNA from 1 species
GACAGAGGUCCCGAGCGUUAGGCGGAAUCACUGGGCUUAAAGCGUGUGUAGGCGGAUUUGUAAGUACCUUGUGAAAUCCCACAGCUUAACUGUGGAACUGCUGGGUAUACUGCUUAUCUUGGGCCACUUAGGGGUUACCGGAACAAACGGUGGAGCGGUGAAAUGCGUAGAUAUCGUUUGGAACGCCAAUGGUGAAAACAGGUAACUGGGAGUGUGCCGACGCUGAGACACGAAAGCCAGGGGAGCGAACGGG